AUUGAACGCUGGCGGCAGGCCUAACACAUGCAAGUCGAACGGAUCCUUCGGGAUUAGUGGCGGACGGGUGAGUAACACGUGGGAACGUGCCCUUUGGUUCGGAACAACUCAGGGAAACUUGAGCUAAUACCGGAUGUGCCCUUCGGGGGAAAGAUUUAUCGCCAUUGGAGCGGCCCGCGUCUGAUUAGCUAGUUGGUGAGGUAAAGGCUCACCAAGGCGACGAUCAGUAGCUGGUCUGAGAGGAUGAUCAGCCACAUUGGGACUGAGACACGGCCCAGACCCCUACGGGAGGCAGCAGUGGGGAAUCUUGCGCAAUGGGCGAAAGCCUGACGCAGCCAUGCCGCGUGAAUGAUGAAGGUCUUAGGAUUGUAAAAUUCUUUUACCAGGGACGAUAAUGACGGUACCUGGAGAAAAAGCCCCGGCUAACUUCGUGCCAGCCGCCGCAGUAAGAC
rnacentral:rRNA from 1 species